ACUCACCACUCCACUCUCUCCUGAGCACCUCCCCGUCUCUCCACCGACUGGCCCAGGCGAGGAUUUUCAUCGAAAACAUCCACUGCAGACUGCGUACCAGAGCCGGGGGGAAACGGUGCUACGACGAACGGAGAACCGACGCUAUGGACCCAACAGCAUGACAGCCGACUCCAUGGCGUUUUUUAAAGUUGGUGUCUAGAGGCGUUAAAAGGAUUCAACAGCAAUGAAUGCGGUAUCACUUGUAAGAUAGAGAGGGGCCAAAGUGGACUAUCCCUCCCUCGGUAGAUGCCUUCCGCCCGAUGGAGGCUGACGGGACCUUUGCAGCGAGUUCGAGGCCCGGAGGGUCACCUGAGAAACACCUCGUUGCAGGACGCAAUUAAGGACAAGACCGUGCACACCUGUCUGCGCUUUCGAGGACUUACUAGACAAGUUCUUAGUGAGCACAACAACAAAAGUUAGCUGCGGGAGGCGAACCCCCCCUGCACAAGAUGACUAUCAUAGAUAUCACUUAGCGAGAGGUUACUCACCGCCUCAGGUAACACAGGACAGGUGAACAACGUUACUCUUUAAAACGGACUACACACUUUUUAAAAGUCACACCAACUCAUUUGACUGCGAGAAUUCAGCAGGUUUUUUUUUAAGUUGUGUUUUUUACUCACCAAGAGUCAACCAUGUCACUCAAAGACAAUGCUUGUCGGAAAUUUCAAGCCAACAUUUUCAACAAAAGCAAAUGCCAGAACUGCUUCAAGCCCAGAGAAUCACAUUUGCUGAACGACGAAGACUUAAAUCAGUUUUUCUGUCAUCAGGCAAAACCUAUAUAUGGAGGAUGGUUGCUGCUGGCUCCAGAGGGAACGAAUUUUGACAAUCCGUUACACAGAUCUCGGAAAUGGCAGAGGAGGUUCUUCAUCCUUUACGAGCAUGGCUUACUGCGCUACGCUCUGGACGAAAUGCCCAGCACCCUGCCACAGGGGACGAUCAAUAUGAACCAGUGCUCCGACGUCAUCAACGGAGAGUCCAGGACGGGGCAGAAGAACUCGCUGUGCAUCCUGACCCCGGAGAAAGAGCACUUUAUACGCGCUGAGUGCAAAGAAAUUAUCAACGGGUGGCAGGAGGCUCUGACUGUUUACCCCCGGACCAACAAGCAGAACCAGAAGAAGAAACGCAAAGUGGACCCACCCUGUCACCAGGGUGGAAGAAAUGCAAGCCAGUGUUUUUCCUCUGAAGACAUGAAUGGACACCCAGAGCCCGGCCCUGCCAAGGUGACGGUAACAAGCAGCGGGGGGGGCAGCAUCCCCUGCCUGCCCAGCAGCAUCGCCGGCGCUGUGAGGGUCCCGAUGAGCCGCACCACUCUGUGGCAGGAGGAGAGCCGCUGGAGCCGCGCCUCCAUCCCCUGCAGCCGCAGCGCCUCCUGCCUCAGCCAGCUGGGCCAGAGCCAACCGGAGUCCAGUGUCAAUACUCAGGACGAUACCGGAUCCAUGAGCACUGGACGCAAGGUACGAGUGGAGAGCGGUUACUUCUCCCUGGAGAAGACCAAGUCGGAGCCCUCCCCUCAGUUUGCCCUGUCCCCACAGUCUGUGCAGCCGCCCCAGCACCUGCCGCUGUCCUCUUCAGCCUCGUCCUCCUCUUUAGGAGCUCUCAGUCCCAGGUACAUCUCAGAGUCAGACUCCCUAACAUCCCCUUAUCCUCCCUCCCAAGAUCCUCUCCCUUCUCCAGGUGCGCUUGUUUCCCCCAGCUACUCCACCAUCAGCUCCUCCCAGAGCUCGCUGGACUCUGAGCCCAGCGGGAGUAUACCCACCUGGGAGGGACGCUGUGGUGGUGGAGGCAGCACCGGGAGUGUGGGUGGUGGAGGAGGCAGAGUGGGGCGGCCUGGCAGGGAGUACACUGCGCUGUCUGAUGUGCCUCGAGCUCGCAGAAUGAGCUACCGUGAAGCUUUCCGCUCAGAGAAAAAGCGACAAGAGCUGAGGGCACGGACACGGAGUCCCGGCAGAGAGGAGGUGGCUCGGCUGUUUGGGCAGGAGCGCAGACGUUCUCAAGUCAUUGGCCGAUUCGAGGAAGGUCAGUCUGAAGAGCACAUGGACACAAGCGGCUCCAAUGAUCCCUCGGCUAACCCCACGCUAAUCCAGAGACAAGGGCGCAGCGAGAGGCGCUAUCUGGCUAGUAAACAUGACCUGUCCCUGGAUGCAGGAAAGGACCGUUCAGUCCCUGAUGUGUCCAGCUCCACUUUUGCUAACUUAAGAAGAGCCAAGUCCCUGGACCGCAGAGUCACCGAGUCCUCCAUGACUCCAGAUCUGCUGAACUUCAAAAAAGGAUGGAUGACAAAGCUGUACGAAGAUGGGAUGUGGAAGAAACACUGGUUUGUCCUGACUGAUCAGAAUUUGCGAUACUACAAGGACUCAAUAGCCGAGGAGGCUUCAUUAAUGGAUGGUGAGAUCGACCUCUCCACUUGUUAUGAUGUCAAAGAGUUCCCGGUCCAGAGGAACUACGGCUUCCAAAUCCUGUGUAAGGAGGGAGCGUGCACCCUGUCUGCCAUGACCUCUGGAAUCCGUCGCAACUGGAUUCAGGCCAUCAUGACGAAUGUGCGGCCCACUAUUGCCCCUGAUGUCACUCGGAAAAACAUCUCACUGAAACUGUCCGUUCUGAAGCCCAGAUCCCUCCCUGAAGAGAAGGCAAAAGCCAACGUGAUGUUAGAGCCGUGUCCACAGUCCUCACCUGAGCUGAGCACAAGUCCUGAAGCCCCAAAGUCCUUCGUCCACACACAGACAUCUGGAAGCAACGCCUCUGGCCCUCUCUCCGAGCAACGUAAAAGCCGAGUCCGUGAGCGCAGACGAGAGGGUCGCUCCAAGACUUUUGACUGGUCCGAGUUUAAAAUGGAGCAGACAGAAAAGCGAGCAAAGGAGCGAGCGGAUACAGUGGACCUCACUUCAUCUUUCUCUACAACGUCCUCAUUUUGCUCUACCUCCUCUUCGCCUUCCUCAUUAGCGUCCUCUCCUAUCUCUACCUCCUCCCUCCAAACCUCCUCUCUGUCAGGUGCUCACCCACCUUCUAUGACCCCAGAAGCAGAAAAGGAGAGUGUUAGGAGGGGCGUCCUCCCACAUGGCACAACCAGUGCCCCGCACAUGCCAAAUACUGUUACCGUCACUAUGACUUCCACGCUUAACACGACAUCACCAGUACCGCCAUCGAUACCUGAAUGCCAUGAGCAAGGAAAGAUGGAAGUAGACCACCCAGCAGCGAUGCAUCCUGCUAGUGAAGAUAAGAAGAAAAAUAAAAACCCGGAUGUCCAUCAAGAGAUCGAGCAGCGGUGGCAUCAGGUGGAGACGACGCCGUUAAGAGAAGAGAAGCAAGUUGCCAUCAACACAGCUUCAGGAAACUCUAGUAACUCUGACAGAUUGCCGGCUGAUGAGCUUGCUGUGCUGCUAGACAAAGAGUUGGGAGAGAAGCAGCAGGAGCUGGACCGACUGCAGAAGCAAAACAAUGUUUUAAAAGAGCACCUGGAGGAUGCACUUGGGAGGGAACACAGUGCCAGACAGGGCUAUGUGCUGCAGAGUGCAACAUCCCCUUCCUCUUCACCGCAAAGAGUGCCGUGGCAGCGCCUGCACGCGCUUAAUGAAGAUUUGCAGGGCGAGUUGGAAACCCAAAAGCAAAAGCAGGAUCUUGCUCAGCAGCAGAUUCGGACACUAAAGAGAAGCUACACAGAAGCACAGGAUGCGGUAGACCACCAUGAGUCUGGUAUUCAGGCUCUGCAGACUAAACUAGCAUCUGCAAUGGCUGAAAUCUGGGCAAGUGAACAGGCUGUUGCCAGAAUGCGCAAUGAGCUCAAGCUAGAGCAGAAACGUUCAAAGGAACAAGAAGAUGAAUUUGGUCGCGGUGAGGCCACACUACGUGCCCAGCUAAAGGACAGUGAAGAUAGACUCCGUGAAGUAGAAGCCAGCCUCUUGGAGAGAAACCAGGCCCUCAGGCACCUGGAGCGCCAGCAGGCCCUGCAACGAGACCAUGUUAGAGAGAUUCAACGGCUCCAGGAGCGGCUGCAAGAGGUCACUGCUAGGAUAAAUGUGACCGAAGAGGGUCAAGCACUAAAGGAAGAGCGCCUGAGGAAGGAUCAGCAUAGCCUGCAAGAGAGUCAUGAGAAGGAAAGACAGAAUCUGUGUAGAAAAUUAGCUGAGGCUGAAACUGCACAGAAAGAGAUGGAGGUCCGUGUGCUAGAGGCUGAGCAGCAGGUGGAUGCCUUGUUAAGAGGCAGGCAGGCUUCUGGGGCAAAAGAAAGCAGGGAGGAAAUGCUGAAGUUGCAAGAGGAACUGGCCCAGAAGACUGACAUGGUGGAGUCACUAAGGGAGAGUGUGCGCAGGCUAGAAGAAGAGAAAGGCCAUCUCACCUGCCGCUGUCAGGAGCUUCUUAACCAGAUAGCAGAAGCAGACCGUGAGGUGAACAAGCUUCGCAAUCGUCUCGAAACAGAAGAAGCUGAUUACUACACCCUAGAGCACUCAUAUGAGAGGGCUACUCAAGAGUUUCAGAAAAUGAGCCAGUUCCUACGAGAAAAAGAGGAGGAGAUCCGGCAGACUAAGGAAAUGUAUGAGAGGCUGAUGGUACGCAAGGAAGAGGAUUUGAAAGAAGCCCUUAUUAAAAUGGCUGCACUUGGCAACAGCUUGGAGGAAACUGAACAGAAGUUGCAAGCUAAGGAGGAGCUUCUUUGUCAUAUGAGUCAAAAUCUCUUGGAUAAAGUUGAACCCUGUAGUGCUGAGAAGGAUCUGCAGGCCAAGCUUGUUGUUGCAGAGGAUCGCAUAGCAGAACUUGAGCAGCAUCUUAAUGCCCUGCAGCUGGGCUAUGCUGACCUACGUAUGGAAAGGCAGCAAAUCCCAGACAAGAGCAAGAAGGCAAGGCUUCAAACAUCAGCCUCCUUAGCAGCAAACACAGAUCUCUUACUUACCUAUGACAAUUCAUCCAAGACGGAGAACUCCCAAGAUGAUAAGGAGUCUCAAGCUAAGAGACCAAGGAUACGUUUUUCCACAAUUCAGUGCCAGAAAUACAUAAGUCUCGAGGGCAUGGACACUAUCAAUGCGAGCACUGCGUUUGCAGACACAACACAAAAUGUAAACGAGGAUGUUAAGGAAGAUACCGAUUUUAGUAAAGGGAACAUCUCUGAUAUUACUUUCUCUCACAGUAGUGACCCAGAGAAGUUCAUUUCUAUCAUACACGCCCUAGAGACUAAGCUGCUAGCCACAGAGGAUACACUCAGAAACCUCACACAAAAUGUAGGAGAGCAAUCCAACCAAGCAGAAGAUGCGUCUAAGGAUGAUCUAAAGAUGACGGACACAAAUCCUAACCCCAAUAAGGAGUUUAGUAAUGGAAGUGGGACACAGAGUAGUGCUGCCAAUAAGCAUUAUGCCAAGGCCCUGUUGUGUGUGGAAAGCAGUCGAGAGAAAGUCAGGACUAUUCUUAAUGGCUCUCAUGUUACCACCGGUUCACAGCUGCACUCAUUGUCAGAGAUAGAGAACCAUUUGUUCAAUGCAUCACUGUUCAUCAGACAAGGACAAACGACUGAGGAGCAAUCACCAGUUGUCCAUGCAAACACAACCCCAGAGACUCUAGAUAAAGAAGCUUUGCACCUCUUUGCCAAAACGUUAUCGUUUGAGGCGGUUGUUCUGAAUAAAAUGGCCUUGUUAUUACAGACAUCAAAGUCUGACCUCCUACAAUCUCUUGCCGAGAUAUGGGAAGACUUGGAGAACAUUCAAAGAGGUGACAAAGAAUGCUUGGCUAUAGUGUAUGCUGAUGUCUUGACCAGGAAGUUGAUGUUAGAAAGUUCAUUCUGGAAAGAAUUGGAGAAAGCUGAGACGGAUGUUGCUAAAUCCAAAGAGGAAAGUGUUUCAGCUGAUGUUGAUUCCACAGUUAUCUUUAACACUUUAAUUAAAGCUGAGCUAGCCUACACUAUUCAAAACCUUAAAAUGUGCUAUGAAGAGAAAUUCAAAAUACUGAAAAGGGAGAUAACUGAGGCUCAUGAUAACCUGCAUCAAAGGGAAAUGGCCUUGAAAACAAUUAUUGAAGCUUCCAAAAGGCCUGAUUUGAUAAAUGUAAUAAAAGAAGUCAAAAAUAACUUUGAGUUUGGUGAACAAAAGUUAGCAGACAUUUCCCCCCCUGAACUAGCUCCCUACAUGGAGCAAAUUGAAAUGGAAGAGGCUAGAGACUUGGCUGAGGAAGUCGUAGACAGACAUUUGGCUAGAGAAAUGCCAUCUUGUGGUAUUAAUUCUAUUGAAUCGCUGCAACAUGCACAUGACAACUUGGCCACUGAGCUUCAAAGACAAGCAAAAAUCCUCCAUAAGUUUGCUCAAGAGAUAGAAAAUGGUGGAAACCAUCCUAGACUGGCUAAAAUGAUCCACGGUCUUCUGGGCCACCAAACCUCACAUGGUUUAACAAGUACCUCUGUCUGUAUGCGCGACGCCCUAAUCCAGGCUCAGGUAGCUUAUGUGGCAUGCAGGUUACAGGCCAUGCAUGAACAAGACUUGGGCUGGUGCAAACAGACAGGUCAAAACAUGGAUGCUCUUGUCCAACAGCACGCCCGAAAGGUCAACGCAAUCCAAGAAAAUUAUGAAGCAUCAUUAAAGGAGGAGCGCCUGAAUUUAACACAAGCAGUUUCCACUCUCAAGAAGGAGAACCAUACGCUUAAGAGUGAGAUCAGCAAACGUGUGAACCAGCUUUCACAGCAGCAGGACCAACUGGCUCUCCUGGAGGAACGUUUCCAGAAGGACACUGAAGAGCUAAAACAGAGGCAUAAGCAAGAGCUAAGCCAAGCUGAGAAAGGCCGUGCCUCCACAGAGCUGGCCCUCAUGGACACUACAGCUGACAGUCAGCAAAAGCUAGAAGUCCUGCUGGUGGACAUGGAAACCAUGGAGGGGCGGCACGAGGGUCACGUGAGGAAACUGGAAGAGCAGUUUGAACAGCGGAUCUGUGAGCUCCAGCAAAUCCACAAAGAGGAGAUUGAAAAGUUACAUUCCCAGUAUAUGGAAAACGUUCAAUGUAUCCAACAGCACAAUAAAGGUCUUGAGGUUUCCCACUCGCCUCCUUGUGACGAGGCCCCUACACCAAUGGAUGAGGAGGAGCAGGGGAAGGGGGAGGAUGCACAUACCAGGUCAGAGGUGGACUCCAUGCUGGUUCUGAAGGACCGGAUCCAGGAGCUGGAGGCUCAGAUGAGCACCAUGAAGGACGAACUGGAGAACAAGCACCUAGAAGGAGAUGUGGCCAGCCUGAGAGAGAAAUACCAGAGAGACUUUGAGAGUCUUAAGGCUACGUGUGAACGUGGCUUUGCAACAAUGGAAGACACACACCACAAGGUAAUAAAUGACCUCCAGAGGCAGCAUCAGAGGGAGAUCGCAAAACUUAUGGAAGAGAGAGAGAGACUUUUGGCUGAGGAGACUGCUGCCACAAUUGCUGCUAUUGAAGCAAUGAAGAAUGCACACAAGGAGGAACUGAACAAGACCCAUCGUUCCCAACUGAGCGGACUGAACGCUGACAUUGAUGAACUGCGCUUACAAUACGAGGAGGAGCUGCAGUCGAUCCACAGAGAACUGGAGGUGCUGUCGGAGCAGUACUCUCAGAAAUGUCUGGAGAACGCUCACCUGGCCCAGGCCCUGGAGGCCGAGAGGCAGGCCCUCAGGCAGUGUCAGAGAGAGAACCAGGAGCUCAAUGCUCACAACCAGGAACUAAACAACCGACUGACUACAGAGAUCACUCGGAUGCGCUCCUGCUUCAGUGGAGAAACAGCAAUGUCACCACUUACCCAGGGAAAAGAUGUGUAUGAACUUGAGGUGUUGCUACGAAUUAAGGAGUCAGAGAUCCAGUAUCUUAAGCAGGAGAUCCACUCUUUGAAAGAUGAACUGCAGUCUGCUUUAAGGGACAAGAAGUAUGCCACAGAAAAAUAUAAAGACAUCUACACAGAGCUCAGCAUUGUGAAAGCAAAGGCUGACUGUGACAUCAGCAAACUGAAGGAGAAGCUGCUCAUUGCAACAGAAGCUUUAGGAGAGAGGAACGUCGAUGGAACAGUCACACCUGGAUACGAUAUCAUGAAAUCAAAAAGUAAUCCAGAAUUCCUGAAAAAGGAACGAUCAAACGCCGCCAAGCAAUCAAGAGGCCUAAGGUCAAAGUCUGUCAUUGAACAGGCAUCAUGGGACAGCUGACACUCCCAUUGUGGGGUGAUUCCCCCCAACCCCUGCCCCAAGAUGUUCUGUAGAGCCUGAAAGAGGGACUUACGGUGCAGGAGCGUAUGAAGCUUUUUGAGGCAAAAGAUUCCAAAAAGAUUUAAAUUUUUAAGAAUUUGCAGUUUCAGUUUUUCUUCCUGACCUCAGUUUUCGGUCAGAUGGUACGGCCAUGCCAGCAUUUGCUGAAGACUUGUAUAGGAAAUGGAAAAAAAUCUGUAAUGGUCAAAACCAAGACCUGCUGCUUCCAUCCCUCUUAUUAGUGGUCAUAUUUUUGUUAGAUUUUUUUUUAGGUGAAACACUUUCAUUGAAUCAAUCCUGUGUAAUUUUUCUUUUUAAGAAUCCAUAGACGUAUAAUCUGUCCAACAUGGAGAUGUGUCAAAUAAGCUGUGAGAGGAAUACAUGACAGCCUUUUUAUUGAUCCUCUAUAAUGCCAAAACGACAGCAAUACACAGUAUAAAUAAUAUAUAUUUCCCAAUAUGAAUUAAGUAUCUGCUGUAUUUUAUUAUUGUUACAGUUUCUAUAUCUAAUAAUUUUGUAUGUGUUUAAUGUUGCACCAGUUCUGUUGUACAUAACUACUGGAUAUAUGUUAGAGUAAGGUUUGCUAUUGAUUGUUGGGGCAUCUGCUGUACUAUAACUAUGGUUUGAUUGAUAGUGGAAAACAAUGUGAUGCUAACUUGCUAAUGUAUGAGAGUUUUAUAAAAAUUGAGUGUCUGUGUGUGAAGGGGGAUAUAGAGGGGUGGGAUUGCACUUAUCACUUGACUACUUGAGGGAGCUUUGUUUUAUUUGUCUCAAACUGGUGUAGUGACUUCAAGUCAUUUAUUGCAGUGCAACCAAACACCCUAACUUCUGUCAAAUUUAGUGGAAAACCGUGACUGGACUUUUUUUUCUUUGAACCUGGAUUUGUGUUUGCUCAGUUUUGAUUAGCGUGACAAUAUCAUCUCAGAAAACAGGAACUGUUUAGGACGUUGCAUGACUGUACAGUACCUUUUUGAAUUGCAGAAUGGUCAUGUUGCCUCUUUUUCCUACUUUUUUGCUUCAGUGUGGAACUCUUUAACACUACUAAGCUUUGCUUUGCAAGUCCUACUGUUUAGGUGUUGAGAUUGAAAUGUUUUACUGUAAGCGGCAGUCUUGAAGCACUCGGCCCAAUCCCUGACCUCUCACUGAAAUCUAGUCGUGCCUCAACUGAGUGAAGAAUAUAAACAUCCAUGAAACCUGUGCAGCUAUGGAUACACACUGUAUAGUAUUCAAACCAUGCCUUGUAUAUAUAUAUAUGCUACACGGAAGACUUCUGUGUGUUGUUUAAAACUUGGACCUUGCUCACUAGCUCUAUAUUAAAUAUAUAUGAAUAUUUUUUAUUUUCAUUUGAAUGUAUAACGUCAAAUAAAUGAAGUGUUUGGAA